GAUGAACGCUAGCUACAGGCUUAACACAUGCAAGUCGAGGGGAAACGAUAUUGGAAGCUUGCUUCCGAUAGGCGUCGACCGGCGCACGGGUGAGUAACGCGUAUCCAACUUGCCCAUCACUUGGGAAUAACCUUGCGAAAGUAAGACUAAUGCCCAAUGACAUUUAUAGAAGGCAUCUGAAAUGAAUUAAAGAUUUAUUGGUAAAGGAUGGCGAUGCGUCCCAUUAGUUAGUUGGCGGGGUAACGGCCCACCAAGACGACGAUGGGUAGGGGUUCUGAGAGGAAGGUCCCCCACAUUGGAACUGAGACACGGUCCAAACUCCUACGGGAGGCAGCAGUGAGGAAUAUUGGUCAAUGGGCGGAAGCCUGAACCAGCCAAGUAGCGUGCAGGAAGACGGCCCUAUGGGUUGUAAACUGCUUUCAGUCGGGAAUAAUUCGUCGGUCGUGACCGACGUUGCAGGUACCGUCAUAAGAAGGACCGGCUAAUUCCGUG
rnacentral:rRNA from 1 species